GUCCCUGAUUGACGGACCGGGUGAGUGAAGAAGGUUUUCGGAUCGUAAAGCUCUGUUAUUGGGGAAGAAAAAAAGACGGUACCCAAGAAGAAAGUUCCGGCUAACUACGUGCCAGCAGCCGCGGUAAUACGUAGGGAACAAGCGUUGUCCGGAUUUACUGGGCGUAAAGGGCAUGUAGGCGGUUUUUUAAGUCAGAUGUGAAAGGUACCGGCUCAACCGGUGACAUGCAUUUGAAACUGAAGAACUUGAGUAUUGGAGAGGCAAGUGGAAUUCCUGGUGUAGCGGUGAAAUGCGUAGAUAUCAGGAGGAACACCGGUGGCGAAGGCGGCUUGCUGGACAAAUACUGACGCUGAGAUGCGAAAGCGUGGGGAGCAAACAGGAUUAGAUACCCUGGUAGUCCACGCCGUAAACGAUGAGUGCUAGGUGUUGGGGAGACUCAGUGCCGCAGUUAACACAUUAAGCACUCCGCCUGGGGAGUACGACCGCAAGGUUGAAACUCAA
rnacentral:rRNA from 1 species